AAAGAGUUUUUAAAACGGAAACAGCGGCAAAAAUUGUUCCGCACACACCGCAAGAAACCCAAGAGACAUACAUGGUCAGUGAUGGUUUUAACUCAUUUCUGCAUGGAUCAGUCACUUCAGGAAUGGCCUGCCAGCUAAAAGAGCGGGAGAGAAAUAAUUCUUUCAGUCUUGAGUUAAAACCGCAUUGGCACAAAUACAUGGAAGAAAUGAUUGUCAGCCGGACGGACUUAGCCUGCAGUCCACCUGCAGGACCCUGUUGAUGUCCAGGGUCAUCUGCCUGGUGCCACCUUAGAAACUGUCCUGAUUCUGUACAGGACACUGAAUGAUAACACCCUGCAAGUCAGCUGACUGCUGUGUCAUACUGCAUUCCUGCAGAUGCCAGUCGAGAUGCGGCAGAGGCAGACAGCUAGGCACAGAGGAGCCGAGUUGUAAACUUUGCUUUUCCUGAUGCUGCCUACUGUCGCGCAUACGAAGAACAUUACCUCUGUGUAGCCAGGAGCUGAGAUGCAGUCUGAAUGUGCACGGUGGCUUCUGACGUGGCAGCGUGAAUUCUCAGCUGGGCAGUUCAAAAGACACGUACAGAAGCUCUCAUCUAUACUGUCAUCCAUCUGGUUCCUACAAACACUGUCCUGCACCAUGACUGGAAGAAGAAGCAUUUGGAGGUUUCCCCAAGAAACUAGUUGGAAACAUUGAUUUAGAAGAACUGUGAGCUUUGACUUAAGGAAGAGGCCACUACUAUCCAGUCAAGAACAUCAGCAGGCUCUGGUCCCUGCUUACAGUUCCCUAGAGGGUGAGCCUCAGAACACCUUACAGAGAACCAAGGAGCACUAAUUAUACCCUGAUCAGCUCAAUAGCAAGAGGAUCCAGAAGAUACCCAGGUCCUGGGGACACUAACAGAGAGCCUGAACCAUAGUCUGAUCAUCAGUAGAUGUGGCACAAGGACCCUCAGGAGAUGAACAGAUGACAGUGGAGAAUGUCAGUAAAUGGCGCACUCUAUGUCUUGGCCAUCAUUCAUUGUUUCCCAAAGGCUCCUGUGAGCCCUUGUCAGCUGCCAUGCAGUGUUUGAGGUAUAGGAGAAACAAGCUCAAACAGAAAGGAUAUAAAGAAACACUGUCCUCCUCGACCUGUGCUUUUAAAAAGCUAGCAGAUAAGAUGUAGUUUCAACCAACAUGUUACUUGGAGUCUUGUGUAGCCCAGGCUGACCUCAAUCUUGGUAUGUGACUGAGAAUAACCUUGAACUUCUGAUCUCCUGCUCCCACCUUCCACAGGUUGAGAUUACAAGCCUGUGCCACCAUACUCAGUUUAUGUGGCGACCGGGAUCAAAGUCAGAGCCUCCUGUAGGCACUCUGCCAACAUAGCUACUUGUACUGGAUGGUUUUGUGUGUCAGCUUGACACAAGUUAGAGUCACCAGAAGGAAAGGAGCCUCAGUUGAGAAAAAUGCCUCCAUGAGAUCUAGCUGUAGGGCAUUUUCUUAAUUAGCGAUUGAUAGUGGAAGGUCCAGCCCAUUAUGAGUGGGGCCAUCCCUUGGCUGGUGGUCCUGGGUUCUACAAGUAUGCAGGCUGAGCAAGCCUAGUGGAAGCCAGGAGAAGCCA
rnacentral:sRNA from 1 species